CACGCCCUAAACGAUGUCAACUAGUUGUUCGGUGAGGAGACUCAUUGAGUAACGCAGCUAACGCGUGAAGUUGACCGCCUGGGGAGUACGGCCGCAAGGUUAAAACUCAAAGGAAUUGACGGGGACCCGCACAAGCGGUGGAUGAUGUGGUUUAAUUCGAUGCAACGCGAAAAACCUUACCCACCUUUGACAUGUACGGAAUCCUUUAGAGAUAGAGGAGUGCUCGAAAGAGAGCCGUAACACAGGUGC
rnacentral:rRNA from 1 species